rnacentral:rRNA from 1 species
AACGAACGCUGGCGGCAGGCUUAACACAUGCAAGUCGAACGCCCCGCAAGGGGAGUGGCAGACGGGUGAGUAACGCGUGGGAAUCUACCCAUCUCUGCGGAAUAGCUCUGGGAAACUGGAAUUAAUACCGCAUACGCCCUACGGGGGAAGGAUUUAUCGGGGAUGGAUGAGCCCGCGUUGGAUUAGCUAGUUGGUGGGGUAAAGGCCUACCAAGGCGACGAUCCAUAGCUGGUCUGAGAGGGUGAUCAGCCACAUUGGGACUGAGACACGGCCCAAACUCCUACGGGAGGCAGCAGUGGGGAAUAUUGGACAAUGGGCGCAAGCCUGAUCCAGCCAUGCCGCGUGAGUGAUGAAGGCCUUAGGGUUGUAAAGCUCUUUCACCGAUGAAGAUAAUGACGGUAGUCGGAGAAGAAGCCCCGGCUAACUUCGUGCCAGCCGCCGCGGUAA